UCGGAAGCUAAGCAGGGUCGGGCCUGGUUAGUACUUGGGUAGGAGACUGCCUGGGAAUACCAGGUGCGUGAAGCUU
rnacentral:rRNA from 1 species